rnacentral:rRNA from 1 species
AUAUCAGUCAUGCAUAGCAUAUCAAUAAGCGGAGGAAAAGAAACUAACAAGGAUUCCCCUAGUAACGGCGAGUGAAGCGGGAAGAGCUCAAAUUUGAAAUCUUCAAGGUUUUACCUUGACGAAUUGUAGUUUAUAGAAGUGUUUUCUGUUAGUAGAGUGGCAAAAGUUCUUUGGAAUAGGACAUCAUAGAGGGUGAGAAUCCCGUAUUUGGUCAUUCUUUCUAGCUUUGUGAUACACUUUCAAUGAGUCGGAUUGUUUGGGAAUGCAGUCCAAAAUGGGUGGUAAAUUUCAUCUAAAGCUAAAUAUUGGCGAGAGACCGAUAGCGAACAAGUACCGUGAGGGAAAGAUGAAAAGAACUUUGAAAAGAGAGUUAAACAGUACGUGAAAUUGUCAAAAGGGAAGCGUUUGACACCAGUGCUGUUUUCUCGAAAAUCAAUUAAAAAUGGCUUGAUUUUGUGUUGUAUUGACUUUAUCGGCUUUCUGCACUUUUUUCCUGUCUUUUUUAAUGCACUUUUCGUUUAACAAGUCAACAUCAAUUUCUUUUGUUGUAAAAGGGUCAUUGGAAGGUGGCUUUCUUUUCGGAGAAAGUGUUUAUAGCCUUUGGCCUCUGCAAUCGGAGAGAUUGAGGUCUGCAGCGUAGAUCCUUCGGGGUUAGAUGCAUUUGUGCUAAGUUAUAGCCUUUCAUAGACAACUUGUUGACUAUGAUCAGUCAUGUAGCUUACUCGCUUAUGUCAUUUUACCUACGCUUAGGAUGUUGAUGUGAUACUGCGAGCAUAUAUCAGUCAUGCAUAGCAUAUCAAUAAGCGGAGGAAAAGCCAACUACCUACGCUUAGGAUGUUGAUGUGAUACUGCGAGCA